UACAGAGGGUGCAAGCGUUGUUCGGAAUUAUUGGGCGUAAAGGGAGUGUAGGCGGCUUGUUAAGUCUUCUGUGAAAUCUACGGGCUUAGCCUGUAAAGUGCAGAGGAAACUGGCGAGCUUGAGUGUCGGAGAGGGUAGCGGAAUUCCCGGUGUAGAGGUGAAAUGCGUAGGUAUCUGGAGGAACACCGGUGGCGAAGGCGGCAUCCUGGACCGGCACUGACGCUGAGGAGCGAAAGCCAGGGGAGCAAACGGG
rnacentral:rRNA from 1 species